rnacentral:rRNA from 1 species
GACGAACGCUGGCGGCGUGCUUAACACAUGCAAGUCGAACGGAAAGGCCCUGCUUUUGUGGGGUGCUCGAGUGGCGAACGGGUGAGUAACACGUGAGUAACCUGCCCUUGACUUUGGGAUAACUUCAGGAAACUGGGGCUCAUACCGGGUAGGAGCUACUGCUGCAUGGUGGGGGCUGGAAAGUUUCGGCGGUUGGGGAUGGACUCGCGGCGUAUCAGCUUGUUGGUUGGGUAGUGGAUUACCAAGGCUUUGAAGGGUAGCCGGCCUGGGAGGGGGAGCGGACACAUUGGGACUGGGAUACGACACAGACUCCUACGGUAGGCAGCAGAGGGGAAUAUUGCACAGUGGGCGGAAGCCUGAUGCGACAACGCCGCGUGGGGGAUGACGGCCUUCGGGUUGUAAACCGCUUUCGCCUGUGACGAAGCGUGAGUGACGGUAAUGGGUAAAGAAGCACCGGCUAACUACGUG